rnacentral:rRNA from 1 species
AUUGAACGCUGGCGGCAUGCUUUACACAUGCAAGUCGAACGGCAGCACGGGAGCUUGCUCCUGGUGGCGAGUGGCGAACGGGUGAGUAAAAUAUCGGAACGUACCCAGUCGUGGGGGAUAAUUAUCUGAAAGGAUAGCUAAUACCGCAUACGUCCUGUGGGAGCAAGCGGGGGAUCGCAAGACCUCGCGCGAUUGGAGCGGCUCUUAUCGGAUUAGCUAGUUGGUGGGGUAAAGGCUCACCAAGGCGACGAUCCGUAGCGGGUCUGAGAGGACGAUCCGCCACACUGGAACUGAGACACGGUCCAGACUCCUACGGGAGGCAGCAGUGGGGAAUUUUGGACAAAGGGCGCAACCCUGAUCCAGCCAUGCCGCGUGAGUGAAGAAGGCCUUCGGAUUGUAAAGCUCUUUCAGCAGGAACGAAACGGUCUGCUUGAAAAAAGGCAGAUAAUGUCGGUACCUGCAGAAGAAGCACCGGCUAACUACGUG